rnacentral:hammerhead_ribozyme from 1 species
AUUUAGCUGAUGAGUCCUAAAUAGGACGAAAUGUGUCUCAUGGAU